UCCGUAGGUGAACCUGCGGAGGGAUCAUUACCGAGUUUACAACUCCCAAACCCCUGUGAACAUACCAAUUGUUGCCUCGGCGGAUCAGCCCGCUCCCGGUAAAACGGGACGGCCCGCCAGAGGACCCCUAAACUCUGUUUCUAUAUGUAACUUCUGAGUAAAACCAUAAAUAAAUCAAAACUUUCAACAACGGAUCUCUUGGUUCUGGCAUCGAUGAAGAACGCAGCAAAAUGCAAUAAGUAAUGUGAAUUGCAGAAUUCAGUGAAUCAUCGAAUCUUUGAACGCACAUUGCGCCCGCCAGUAUUCUGGCGGGCAUGCCUGUUCGAGCGUCAUUUCAACCCUCAAGCCCCCGGGUUUGGUGUUGGGGAUCGGCGAGCCCUUGCGGCAAGCCGGCCCCGAAAUCUAGUGGCGGUCUCGCUGCAGCUUCCAUUGCGUAGUAGUAAAACCCUCGCAACUGGUACGCGGCGCGGCCAAGCCGUUAAACCCCCAACUUCUGAAUGUUGACCUCGGAUCAGGUAGGAAUACCCGCUGAACUUAAGCAUAUCAAUAAGCGGAGGAA
rnacentral:rRNA from 1 species